rnacentral:rRNA from 1 species
UCAAUAAGCGGAGGAAAAGAAACUAACGAGGAUUCCCUUAGUAACUGCGAGUGAAGUGGGAAAAGCUCAAAUUUAAAAUCUGGCAACGGUUUGGUUGUCCGAGUUGUAACCUAGAGAAGUGCAGCCUGUGCUGGACCAUGUAUAAGUCUCCUGGAAUGGAGUGUCACAGAGGGUGAGAAUCCCGUGUUUGACAUGGACUGCCAGUGCAUUGUGGUGUGCUCUCAAAGAGUCGAGUUGUUUGGGAAUGCAGCUCUAAAUGGGUGGUAAAUUCCAUCUAAAGCUAAAUAUUGGCGAGAGACCGAUAGCGAACAAGUACCGUGAGGGAAAGAUGAAAAGAACUUUGGAAAGAGAGUUAAACAGUACGUGAAAUUGUUGAAAGGGAAACAUUUAAAGUCAGUUGUGUUAGCUGGGGAUCAACCUGGUUUAUUGCUUGGGUGUAUUUCCUGGGUGACAGGUCAACAUCAGUUCUGACCGGUAGAAAAAAGGCAAGGAAAUGUGGCACCUUUGGGUGUGUUAUAGUCCUUGGCUGUAUCUAGUGGUUGGGACUGAGGGAUGCAGCACACCCACAAGGGCCGUGGCCAGGUCAUUGCCUGGAGACGUUUGUGCUUAGGAUGUUGGCAUAAUGGCUUUAAGUGACCCGUCUUGAA